AGGUCUCCGUUGGUGAACCAGCGGAGGGAUCAUUACCGAGUUUACAACUCCCAAACCCAAUGUGAACGUUACCAAACUGUUGCCUCGGCGGGAUCUCUGCCCCGGGUGCGUCGCAGCCCCGGACCAAGGCGCCCGCCGGAGGACCAACCAAAACUCUUAUUGUAUACCCCCUCGCGGGUUUUUUUAUAAUCUGAGCCUUCUCGGCGCCUCUCGUAGGCGUUUCGAAAAUGAAUCAAAACUUUCAACAACGGAUCUCUUGGUUCUGGCAUCGAUGAAGAACGCAGCGAAAUGCGAUAAGUAAUGUGAAUUGCAGAAUUCAGUGAAUCAUCGAAUCUUUGAACGCACAUUGCGCCCGCCAGUAUUCUGGCGGGCAUGCCUGUCCGAGCGUCAUUUCAACCCUCGAACCCCUCCGGGGGGUCGGCGUUGGGGAUCGGCCCUGCCUUGGCGGUGGCCGUCUCCGAAAUACAGUGGCGGUCUCGCCGCAGCCUCUCCUGCGCAGUAGUUUGCACACUCGCAUCGGGAGCGCGGCGCGUCCACAGCCGUUAAACACCCAACUUCUGAAAUGUUGACCUCGGAUCAGGUAGGAAUACCCGCUGAACUUAAG
rnacentral:misc_RNA from 1 species